GACGAACGCUGGCGGCGUGCUUAACACAUGCAAGUCAGGGGGCGGGGUAACCCGUCACCGGCGACCGGGUGCGGAACACGUGAGCGACUUGCCCUGGUGUGGGGGAUAGCCGGCCCAACGGCCGGGUAAUACCGCAUACGGCGCCCGCUUGGAAGCGGGAGGCGAAACUUGCCAGAGGCGCUAGGAGGGGCUCGCGGCCUCUCAGCUAGUUGGUGCGGUAACGGCGCACCAAGGCGAUGACGGGUAGCUGGUCUGAGAGGAUGGCCAGCCACAUUGGGACUGAGGGACGGCCCAGACUGCGACGGGAGGCAGCAGUGGGGAAUAUUGCGCAAUAGGCGAAGUCCUGACGCAGCGACGCCGCGUGGAGGGUGAGGCCCGUGGGGGUGUAAACUCCUGUUGCGCGGGAAGAAUGCCCCGCGGCAGCGGGGUUGACGGUACCGGGGGAGGAAGCACCGGCUAACUCUGUG
rnacentral:rRNA from 1 species